UACGUAGGUGGCAAGCGUUGUCCGGAUUUACUGGGCGUAAAGAGCGCGCAGGCGGUUGAUUAAGUCGAAUGUGAAAGCCCCCGGCUCAACUGGGGAGGGUCGUUCGAUACUGAUCGACUGGAAGGCAGGAGAGGGUAGUGGAAUUCCCGGUGUAGUGGUGAAAUGCGUAGAUAUCGGGAGGAACACCGGUGGCGAAGGCGGUUCUCUGGGCCUUACCUGACGCUGAGGAGCGAAAGCAUGGGGAGCAAACAGG
rnacentral:rRNA from 1 species